rnacentral:misc_RNA from 1 species
GUAGGUGAACCUGCGGAGGGAUCAUUAACGAGUGGCCUCGCUCGAGGCCUUCGACCCAUAGACCCGUGGAUGACAAGCGUGCUUCGGCGCUCCGGCGCCGUCCUUAUGCAUUCGUCGGCCUGUGUCUGAAUCAGAAAUAGCAAUCAAAACUUUCAACAAAGGAUCUCUUGGCUCUC